GGAAAAAUAAAGAGCAAAGGCAAAGCCUACGACAAGAAUUAGAUUACAGUGAUGGUCAAAAGCAUUUAAAUAUUGCUUUGAAAUCUACAGAUAAGGUAUGGCAGUUUCAUUUUAAAGAACAAGAUGUUAAAGUUUGUGAUAAAAUUGUCAUCAGAAAUACUGUCCACUUCAGUAUUUACAUAGGAAAAUAUUGGAGGAUGAAACUCUACCUACUGCCUCAGGUUAAUUUAAAUUCUGAAUUGCAACAACAGCAACAAGCAAGAAGGGCACCAUUAAAUGAAUAUUAUACACAUAAGUAUUAUUAUACACAGAAAGAGUAAUGUUAUACACAUAAAUAUUAACAUUUUGUAGAGCAACAACAGAAUAAAAAACCAAAAUAUGAACAGCAGCAACUAAAACAGGAACCAUUAAAUGAAUAUUAUACACAGCAAUAACAGCAUCAAAUAAUGGAAAUAAUGGACCCUAUUGCUCAAAUC